UUUAUGUUAGGGGUGGGCUCUGCAUACUUCUGUAGGGAAGAUCUGGGUUGGUCAUGCCGUUACUCUUUUGAGUAACUGAAUGUUAUAUUAUUCUAAGAUCUCAGGGAAAACUCAGAUUGGGGAUCUGCAAGUUUUCAGCGCUCCCAAAGUGGUCUGAUCUAGGACAGAGUCUUCCUGCUGCUUCUCUAGGAUUGUGCAAGUUGCUCCCGUAGGUUGCUGAGUUCCAGUGGCUAGAUCACUAUAUUAUUGGAGGGUAUGGGCUAGAACGAGAGCCAGUGGCUGGUCAACAACGUGAUCCGGACACGGAGGCAAGCUGAGGUGGAAGAAGAUGAUAUGAGCACUUUCAUCCCCAUUUUCCAG